GAUGCAAGGUAACCUAAAUGGAUUUUAAAUUUUAUUUUGGAUUGUUAAAUCUUUAUUUCUGACUACUAUUGUUUUAUGUCGUGGAUGCCCUCGUGAGGUUCUACGCCGACGCCUUCAGGAGGGAUUCACAGAGGCCAUGGUGAGGAUGGCCAGCUUGAGUCGGCUCACCAGGAGCAGCACGAGAUUCGCUACAACUAAAUGAUAGGAGGUAUUUUCUAGAAAUUACAACCCCACCUCUGUCAGGCCUUCUGUUGAGUGAAUUUGAUUUGCACACCCUCACCCUGCACGCUCUUACCGGACUGCCGCUCCUGGCACCCACUCACACGAGAUUGCUGCCCCACUCGCCAUGCCACCAUAGAUCCAGCUAGGGCGACAUCAUUGUGGGCAAUCCUGUGCGAGAGAAUGUGAAAUUGCUGUAGGAUUGAUAAUGACCAGGGGUUUCUCCGCCCACAUGCAUCAGGUUUCGCUGCCAUUUGCAGCGACUGUGUUCCAGUUCGACCGUUUGGGG
rnacentral:lncRNA from 1 species